AUUGAACGCUGGCGGCAUGCUUUACACAUGCAAGUCGAACGGCAGCACGGACUUCGGUCUGGUGGCGAGUGGCGAACGGGUGAGUAAUACAUCGGAACGUGCCCAGUUGUGGGGGAUAACUACUCGAAAGAGUAGCUAAUACCGCAUGAGAACUGAGGUUGAAAGCAGGGGAUCGUAAGACCUUGCGCAACUGGAGCGGCCGAUGUCAGAUUCGGUAGUUGGUGGGAUAAAAGCUUACCAAGCCGACGAUCUGUAGCUGGUCUGAGAGGACGACCAGCCACACUGGGACUGAGACACGGCCCAGACUCCUACGGGAGGCAGCAGUGGGGAAUUUUGGACAAUGGGCGAAAGCCUGAUCCAGCAAUGCCGCGUGCAGGAUGAAGGCCUUCGGGUUGUAAACUGCUUUUGUACGGAACGAAAAGCUUCGGGUUAAUACCCUGGAGUCAUGACGGUACCGUAAGAAUAAGCACCGGCUAACUACGUGCCAGCAGCCGCGGUAA
rnacentral:rRNA from 1 species